rnacentral:rRNA from 1 species
AGUGGCGAACGGGUGAGUAACACGUAAGCAAUCUACCUCUAAAUUUGGGAUAACCUUGCCAACGCGGGGCUAAUACCGGAUGUGAUUAUCACAUGUAAAGGAGCGUUUAGAGAUGAGCUUGCGGCCCAUUAGUUAGUUGGCGGGGUAACGGCCCACCAAGACCGCGAUGGGUAGCCGGCCUGAGAGGGUGUACGGCCACAUUGGGACUGAGAUACGGCCCAGACUCCUACGGGAGGCAGCAGUAGGGAAUUUUGCGCAAUGGACGAAAGUCUGACGCAGCAACGCCGCGUGAGGGAUGAAGGCCUUCGGGUUGUAAACCUCUGUUGAGUGGGAAAAAUGAUGGUACCACUUGAGGAAGCACCGGCUAACUACGUGCCAGCAGCCGCGGUAAUACGUAGGGUGCUAGCGUUGUUCGGAAUCACUGGGCGUUAAGGGAGUGUAGGCGGGAUCGUAAGUUAGGAGUUUAAUACUGGGGC